UACGUAGGGUGCGAGCGUUAAUCGGAAUUACUGGGCGUAAAGCGUGCGCAGGCGGUCUGCUAAGAGAGAUGUGAAAUCCCCGGGCUUAACCUGGGAACUGCGUUUCUAACUGGCAGGCUUGAGUGUGGCAGAGGGGGGUGGAAUUCCGACGUGUAGCAGUGAAAUGCGUAGAGAUGUGGAGGAACACCGAUGGCGAAGGCAGCCCCCUGGGCUAACACUGACGCUCAUGCA
rnacentral:rRNA from 1 species